rnacentral:rRNA from 1 species
UCGAACGAAGAGUGCAGACAGAUCCUUUCGGGGUGAAGAUUGUACUACUUAGUGGCGGACGGGUGAGUAACACGUGAGCAACCUGCCUUGCAGAGAGGGAUAACGAUUGGAAACGAUCGCUAAUACCACAUAACAUAUAUAUGCCGCAUGGUAUAUGUAUCAAAGAUUUAUCGCUGCAAGAUGGGCUCGCGGCUGAUUAGAUAGUUGGUGGGGUAAAGGCCUACCAAGUCGACGAUCAGUAGCCGGACUGAGAGGUUGAACGGCCACAUUGGGACUGAGACACGGCCCAGACUCCUACGGGAGGCAGCAGUGGGGGAUAUUGCACAAUGGGGGGAACCCUGAUGCAGCGACGCCGCGUGAGGGAAGAAGGUUUUAGGAUUGUAAACCUCUGUCUUUGGGGACGAAAAUGACGGUACCCAAGGAGGAAGCUCCGGCUAACUACGUGCCAGCAGCCGCGGUAAUACGUAGGGAGCGAGCGUUGUCCGGAAUUACUGGGUGUAAAGGGAGCGUAGGCGGGUAUGCAAGUUGAAUGUGAAAUGUAUGGGCUUAACCCAUAAACUG